AACCUUAUGGACCUGCGGGCGUAUACCUGCGGAAGGAUCAUUACCAGUACCACCGUCGCCUCCGGGCGUCGGUCUACUACCAACCCUUUGUCAUCCGACCUCGUUGCCUCCGGGUGCGACCCUGACCUUCGGGUCUCGCGUCUCCCCGGGUGGACACACAUCAAAACUCUGCAUAACUUUGUUGUCUGAGUAAAACUUUUAAUUAAAUUAAAACUUUUAACAAUGGAUCUCAGAUCGGAA
rnacentral:misc_RNA from 1 species